CAGUAGCCGCGGUAAUACGAAGGGGGCUAGCGUUGCUCGGAAUGACUGGGCGUAAAGGGCGCGUAGGCGGCGAUCAAAGUCAGGCAUGAAAUUCCUGGGCUCAACCUGGGGGCUGCGCUUGAUACUUGGUUGCUUGAGUGGGGAAGAGGGUCGUGGAAUUCCCAGUGUAGAGGUGAAAUUCAUAGAUAUUGGGAAGAACACCGGUGGCGAAGGCGGCGACCUGGUCCUUGACUGACGCUGAGGCGCGAAAGCGUGGGGAGCAAACAGGAUUAGAUACCCCUGUAGUCCCUGUCUCUUAUAC
rnacentral:rRNA from 1 species